CUAGUAAAGAGAAACAAAUGUAUCAUCCUCCAGCUUUAGGUUUUUCCUGCUAAUUUAAGAAUACUAAAAAAGUCACUUUAUAAACAUUAAUACCAAUUUGUCAAAUACCUUAAACAUCUUUUUACAAUCUUUUCCAUGAUGCUUGGUUGGCAUCAAGACAUCCUAUGUUCCAAGAAGAAGGAAAAUAUUUACGAUACAAGAUUCAUCUCAAGAAAGUCCACAGCCACAAAUUUCCUUAAGGGAAGAGUCUUUUAACACUGUGUAGUCCUAUGUUCAAUAACAGUUUAGGUCACUUACAUGAAGCCAGCAUCGUGCAGAUCAGCAUGAUGAGCAGAUUUUUUCCACUGUCUAUUUAUGUAUAUAUUAUAUAUAUAUAUGUACGAUUCAAAUGACUAUCUAUGUCUAGUGAAAAUCGACUUUCAAACAAUUGUAUGUCGUGAAAAGGAUGCUCCUUCAGGUUUGGUACCUAAAAAUUGCAACUUUCUUUGGAUUGACGAGGAGCACAAAAGAAAGAUUAAUACGGAACGAGAACGUUUAUUUGCUACCCCAUAACACGUGUCGAAUCUUUGUAAUUAUGUCACAAAUUCGUCUGCUUGUCUAUUGGAAACGUUGAAAUCGAUAAAAAACUUGAAAGAAAAAUUAUAAUCAAUAUUCAAUAGUAAUUCAAAUUUCUCUUGUUGAUAUCGUUAGAUAACGCUGUUACUGAUUUAUGAUUAUUUACAACAACAACAAAAUAAAUAAUGGUGCUGCCUGGGUUGCUGAAAAUUUAGGGGGUUAUUUGGCAUUCCGUGGGUUUGACGAGAAAACAAAUAACUUAAGCAAAAUCAGUGUUCAAAUUUGAUAGUACCGUGUGUUUUUUUUUCUCCAAGGCUAUCGGGAAAUACGUGAACACCGAGAGCCGUUGAUUAGAACAGUCGACAUAGGCAGCACACAAGUUUUACAAUAGGAGGAAUUGAAAUGUGGUCAGUAACGGCAGCUACAAAAGUGAAAACAGUACCUUCCUGGCUUGUCAUCCUAGCAAGAGUCUUCUCGUAAUUGCUAACAAUAGUGAUUGGAAUAUUCCCCGACCUUUUGCGAACAUACAAUGAGAUGUUACAGCCAACAAAAUUGGUGGCUACAUUCAAUUGAUUAAUCAGGAGCCAGAGUUAAGCGGAGACGAAAAAAUUUAGUAGAUGAAGGUGAAAUCUAGAAUGUCAACGGCUAAUUUCUGUGUUAUUUUAGCACAUUGGCUCGCCGCAAUGGAAGUAAACAAACAAAAAACAGUAAAAACCUUCACGUUUAAUAAAUGCAGCUACAGCGCUGAAUAUAUAUAGCGAGGAACAAAGGAAAUAUUCAAGGAAUACACAAGUUAAUAAUUAUUAAAACAAUUGCGAAAAUAGUAGAGAAAUUGCCAUAUAAAAGAAUAAGGAGACCCAGCCCAGUGAUGUUUUGUUUUUUUAGGAGAUUUACAAAAGACACAAUCGGCACAACUCAUUAAAAAAAAUAAAAUAAAAAAAUACAUUGUUUUGUGACGGUAGUCUUCUUUUUUUCUUUCCAAAUUAAAAAGACAAUUAAAAAGAGAUCGCACUCAGUUUUUUUCAAAAAGAUUACUUUACAAUAAUACGAUACAAAUAUAUAGGUCGAUUGCCUCCAAACAGUUCAACAUUGUUUUCGCUCGUACAAAUUUAAAAGAAAACCCGCUCAU
rnacentral:lncRNA from 1 species